AUGACAUUUAUGGGAAAGCCUUGGAAAAAUUUAAGGAUCCUGACUGGAGGGAAAUGUUUAUGGCCAUGUCUAAUGAUAGGAAACGUGGAUGGCUAUUUAGACUCCAAGCAUAAAAUCUAUCUUGCAUAUGUGGCAAUGGUGAUGAGACACUAUAUUCUGUUAAUGGUAUUUAUGGCUAUGUUCUUCUUGAAGCUAUUUGGUAAACAAUUUUAUGAGUGA